rnacentral:rRNA from 1 species
UACGGAGGGCGCAAGCGUUGUUCGGAAUCACUGGGCGUAAAGGGCGUGUAGGCGGUCAGGCAAGUCGGAUGUGAAAGCCCUGGGCUCAACCCGGGAAUUGCAUCCGAAACUGCUCGGCUAGAGUCCCGGAGAGGAAGGCGGAAUUCCCAGUGUAGGGGUGAAAUCCGUAGAUAUUGGGAAGAAUACCAGAGGUGAAGGCGGCCUUCUGGACGGUGACUGACGCUGAGACGCGAAAGCGUGGGUAGCAAACAGG